CGGCGAGUGAGCGGUAACAGCUCAAAUUUGAAAUCUGGCUCUUUUAGGGUCCGAGUUGUAAUUUGUAGAACAUGCUUCGGGUGUGGCCCCGGUCUAAGUUCCUUGGAACAGGACGUCAUAGAGGGUGAGAAUCCCGUAUGUGACUGGGUGCUUUCGCCUAUGUGAAGCUCUUUCGACGAGUCGAGUUGUUUGGGAAUGCAGCUCAAAAUGGGUGGUAAAUUUCAUCUAAAGCUAAAUAUUGGCCAGAGACCGAUAGCGCACAAGUAGAGUGAUCGAAAGAUGAAAAGCACUUUGGAAAGAGAGUUAAACAGUACGUGAAAUUGUUGAAAGGGAAGCGCUUGCAACCAGACUUGCACGUUGUCGAUCAUCCGGGGUUUUCCCCGGUGCACUCGAUCUCGUUCAGGCCAGCAUCGGUUUUGGUGGUGGGAUAAAGGCCUUGGGAAUGUAGCUUCUUUCGGGGAGUGUUAUAGCCCUCGGUGCAAUGCCGCCUACCGGGACCGAGGACCGCGCUUCGGCUAGGAUGCUGGCGUAAUGGUUGUAAGCGACCCGUCUUGAAACACGGACCAAGGAGUCUAACAUCUAUGCGAGUGUUUGGGUGUCAAACCCAUACGCGUAAUGAAAGUGAACGGAGGUGAGAACCCUUAAGGGUGCAUCAUCGACCGAUCCUGAUGUCUUCGGAUGGAUUUGAGUAAGAGCAUAGCUGUUGGGACCCGAAAGAUGGUGAACUAUGCGUGAAUAGGGUGAAGCCAGAGGAAACUCUGGUGGAGGCUCGCAGCGGUUCUGACGUGCAAAUCGAUCGUCAAAUUUGCGUAUAGGGGCGAAAGACUAAUCGAACCAUCUAGUAGCUGGUUCCUGCCGAAG
rnacentral:rRNA from 1 species